CAGGACGGACCAGUUCCUGUAUGAUCACCAAAGUUAAGCAACGUUGAGCCUGGUCAGUAUCUAGAUGGGUGACCACUUGAGAAAACUAUCUGCUGU